GCGAAUUUAUCUUAACGUCACACAUGGUCCGUCACGCCUGACCUGGGUGCCUGAAAGCCUUGAAUUUAAAGGGUUGAGGGUUGGUCGGUGGGGGUCAUGGAGGCUCAAC
rnacentral:sRNA from 1 species